rnacentral:misc_RNA from 1 species
GGAAGUAAAAGCGUAACAAGGUUUCCGUAGGUGAACCUGCGGAAGGAUCAUUAUUGUAUAACCGAGGUGCGAGGGCUGUCGCUGACCCGAAAGGUCGUGCACGCCCGAGUGCCCUCACACACAUCCAUCUCACCCCUAUGUGCACCACCGCGUGGGUCCCCCUUUGGCUUGUUCGGAGGGGGGCUUACGUUUUCACACAAACUUUGUAUGCAGUGUAGAAUGUAUUUUUUGUUUUUGCGAUCACGCGAUCAAUACAACUUUCAACAACGGAUCUCUUGGCUCUC